ensembl:lncRNA
GGGCUUUCUUCAUUCACCAAGCAUCCAUGACAUCUCAUAAAUGUGGCUCUGUACCUUUUCUCCUUAAAUUACAGUUACUUGAGUAUUUGUUUGAUUUGCCAUGCUAAACGCCACCCUCACAUCACUGAGCCACCUGCUCCAGCUUCUUCCCCUCUUCCACAUGACAGAACAUGAAGCUCUGCAGUAAUAGGACUUAAUCUUCUUUGCAGAUCCAGAAAUGUCUGGUGGAGUCUUAGGUACACAACCUAACAAAAGGAAGUCACCAGCCUGUCCUGCUUUACUUCCAGGUACCUUGAAGAAAUGCCUGGAAGAAAUGCAUGUAGGGUCAAGUGCGGUAAUUCCAAUGCAUUAGGAGGCCAACCAGGGUGAAUCACCUAAGGUCAGGAGCUCGAGACCAGCCUGAACAACAUGGCAAAACCCCACCUCUACUAAAAAAAUACAAAAAUUAGCCAGGCAUGGUGGUGCAUACCUAUAAUCCCAGCUACCUGGGAGGCUGAGGCCUGAGAAUGUCUUGAAUCCAGGAGGUGGAGGUUGCUGUGAGCCAAGAUCGCACCACUGCACUCUAGCCUGGCCAAGAGAACAAGACCCUGUCUCCAAAAGAAAAAAAAUGCAUGUAGGAUAGCAGGGAAAUUUUGGAAAAGAAAAAUAAAGUCAUAGCAGAAUAUUCUCCAAUGGUUGUCAUGCAGACAUCCUCACUUUCUGGGACUUCUUAGCAGUGGGUAUAAUUAAAGACAGACACAAAACUACUUGCACCAUCUACAGCUCCAACAAGCUGCUGAAUACUUAGAGAAUCACUACCAAGAGAGUUUUGUUCUGCAAAACACUGUGUUAUGAUAAACCAAAUCCUCAAGCCACAGCAAAACCCUUAAGGAGCUCUAUGGGGCUGAGCCUCAGUUUCCUACAUCUCUAAAAUGGAGAAGAUGACAGAGACUACUGGUACCUACUCAAUAACCAGUCUCUUCCUCUUUAAUGACAGAAUCAUGUUUUUGUUGGGAGUAACACUGUGACCAGGCAAGAAGAAGGAGGAGGAGGAGGGGAAGAAUAGGGAGGAGGAGGAAAAAGAGAAGCUCUCUAUCUUUUCCAUUUGCAAAUAAGUGUAGCCAAUUGGAUAUGAAUAGAAGUGCUCACAAACAAGGUUUUCAAGGAAACCUACUUAAGGGGACUGCCCCUGGCGGGAACGGUGCUCUUCUCUUUUUGCUUCUGAAUGUAUAACAGGAGUGUGCUAACUGGAGCUGCAGCAACCACCUUAGGACCAUAAGGAAAAAUGGAAAGAAUUUCAGAGACUGGUUCUGAGCAAUGAACCACUGCACCAUAGCCAGUGAAACUUAGACUCCUCAUCACACUGAGCUGUAAAAAUAAGCUUAUUGUUUACAUUGUUACAGUUAGUCUCAACUCACAGCCAACCUGAGUUCUCAACUAACACAGAGACAACUACGUCUCACAGUGUGGUAAGAGUUAAGUUAAUAGACAUAGGCAAAUUUCUGGUAGUUCCUAGUGCUAGUUUUGUUAAUCAUCCAUUCCAUUAGUAUUUAUGAAAUGCCUACUCUGUGCCCAUUCUUAAUAUUAGAGAACACAGUCUUGCC